CAGCGAGACGUCGGAAAAGUCGACAGCAUCAAAUCAUGGAUUUUUGAUGGAAUCACUCGUUUUGUUUAGAUAGUCAACGAAUAUGUAAACCGCUCUGGCCCAUGAGUCUGUUUCAUUUCCGAGAGGAAGAUUGUCUUGCAUCGAACUUUGACACGGUAACCGAGUCCGUAGUAACAUUUGCGUCUUCCUGCAGAGACAGUGGCUGUGUUUUGCGAGGUUUUGGCGUGUGCCAGAAUUUUUUUGUAUGACGCUAUCUGGGUGAGGAUGUUGAAGGCUGCAGCAUCGGUAUUGUUGAGGGAAUGAGGUUUGCAAUAGAGAUAUUUGUACGAUGGGUAAAGAUGUAUCGUAAUCUAGUGGGAUUGUAGCGGUGGUGUUGUGGUUUCUAGAUAUGUGGUUUUGUGCGCUUAGGGAUUCGGAUUGGGAGUUUUCAUUUUCCUGGAGCAAUGCGGCGUUGAGUUUCCCGUAGUGGACUUGAAUGCUUCGGAGGAGUCUUUUGAACUUUUGAUUGCUGAUAGACAUUUUUGGUAAGAAGAUGUUAUUGGCGCCUCGGCAUUACGAGAACGAAGAUUGACAGGGAGAUCUGAUGACAUAUACAUAAGAGGAUAUGAUUCAUACUCCGCGAUGGAGAGAGAGCAUGGGGGCUGGCAGAGCUUUCGGGUUGUGCGAUUGGCUAGAAUAAAGGUUUACAAACCCCUCAUGCUUACUCUGCGAAGAGGGGCUGAACGGACGCAACAGGCCUUCUCGGUAGCUCUCGGCUUGACUCUUGGUGUUUUCCCAAUUUGCGGCGUCACAGUAGUAUUCUGCUGCGUAGCAGUGGCGCUGCUGGGCACGAAGUGUUAAGGGCCAGCGAUAAUGCUGGCGAAUGUCCUCGCCAUUCCCUUACAAAUGAGCUUAAUUGUACCUUUUCUCCGAGUGGGUGGAAGUGUACUGGGAGCCAGUCUUUUUGCACUGACAAAAGACACUCUCUGGCAGGCCCUCACAGGAAAAUCUUCAGGCGAGUUAGUCUUUGCCAUUGGGCAUGCAAUACUGGGCUGGCUAAUGUCCAGCCCUUUUCUCUUCAUGAUGUUGUAUGCUUUGCUCCUGCCACUCACUUUGGGGGCGCAGAAACGAUUUGGAGGUCGAGAUCAGCUGCCAAGUCAAGCUCGUGUUGCUCUAGAUUAACUCCACAGACAAGAGAGGAAACCUUUGGAACAUUUCCUUUAUAUGUUGCCGUCGUCUGCAAUGCUUUGAAUGAUAGCCGGUGUAAUCGAUGCUUCGAAAUCCAUUCUGUCUGCAGCUAAAACUACACGGCAUUUUCUCAGCCAGGGGCCGUAUACUCUUUUAAGUCUACAUCUCCUUCACAGCCUAGCAGACAGGACCGGCCAUCAAGUGGAGAGAAAUCAAACUUGCAAGUUUCAAUUCAGCAACCCUCCUUACAACAGUAAAAAGAUAGCCGUGACUUUCACAUUUCCUCAUUGUUGAGGCAGAAGGGCGACUUGCUGUAGAAGCCAGGAUGUUUUAAGCACUUCCCCAUUUCUCAAGAGUUUGGCAAUAUCUGGGAUCUCACCCACCAAUGACGAGUUGCUAGAAGUGCACUCUUCAAACAAUAUCUUCCUCUGGAACUGUCCUUCUCGAGUAAUCCAAGCUUCUAUUCACCAACUGUGAAUAAUCAUUCACAGUUCCUCUGACAAA